CUGAUUGGCAUAAGAUUGCUCACAUCCCGGACAUUCGGUUGUAAUCAGUUACAGGAGCAGCACCGAUAAAGAUUGAGAGGCCAUGCUUUUGCCCUAUGAAAUAAUUGGUCACCUUUUUUAUGUUUCGUUUGAGAAAAGCCAAGGGGAAAAGAGUUAGCUUUGUCUCCAUGUACACCAUUGCAAGGAAACAACCUUUAAAGGUACCCAAAUGGACAUUAAUUAAUGUGGAGAGGCCUAAAAAGCUUGCAUGCUACCCUUCACAAACGUUGUACUUCAUGCUCUGCUUUCUUCAUUUUGCAAAAUUAAGCACUAAUUUUAUCAAUCAUAUGUAUAUUCAGUUUUAUGUUUUUUCUUAAAAAUUUGUCCUAUUUUCUUUUAAUUUUUGUUAGUUUUGUCCUAUUUACUCAAAAAUUAACUUAUUAAUACAUAGUAAAACUCAAUCAACUUUAUCGUUAAACAAAAA